AGGCCUACGGGGGGCAGCAGUGAGGAAUAUUGGUCAAUGGGCGAGAGCCUGAACCAGCCAAGUCGCGUGAAGGAUGACGGCCCUAUGGGUUGUAAACUUCUUUUGUCAGGGAGCAAUUGGGUCCACGUGUGGGCUUAGCGAGAGUACCUGAAGAAAAAGCAUCGGCUAACUCCGUGCCAGCAGCCGCGGUAAUACGGAGGAUGCGAGCGUUAUCCGGAUUUAUUGGGUUUAAAGGGAGCGUAGGUGGACAGUUAAGUCAGUUGUGAAAGUUUGCGGCUCAACCGUAAAAUUGCAGUUGAUACUGG
rnacentral:rRNA from 1 species